rnacentral:sRNA from 1 species
CCUUAGCCCCGGUUGAAGUGAAAAUCCUUUUGUGCUGGUGUUCGGCACAAAAGAUUGAAACGGAAAACGGGACGAUGU